rnacentral:tRNA from 1 species
ACGUGGCUGGCUCUGCCAGUAGAGCGUGUGACUCUUGAUCUCAGGGUCAUGAGUUCAAGUCCCAUGCUGGGGG